rnacentral:rRNA from 1 species
AAAUUGAAGAGUUUGAUCAUGGCUCAGAUUGAACGCUGGCGGCAGGCCUAACACAUGCAAGUCGAGCGGUAGCACAGGAGAGCUUGCUCUCUGGGUGACGAGCGGCGGACGGGUGAGUAAUGUCUGGGAAACUGCCUGAUGGAGGGGGAUAACUACUGGAAACGGUAGCUAAUACCGCAUAACGUCUACGGACCAAAGUGGGGGACCUUCGGGCCUCACGCCAUCAGAUGUGCCCAGAUGGGAUUAGCUAGUAGGUGGGGUAAUGGCUCACCUAGGCGACGAUCCCUAGCUGGUCUGAGAGGAUGACCAGCCACACUGGAACUGAGACACGGUCCAGACUCCUACGGGAGGCAGCAGUGGGGAAUAUUGCACAAUGGGCGCAAGCCUGAUGCAGCCAUGCCGCGUGUGUGAAGAAGGCCUUAGGGUUGUAAAGCACUUUCAGCGAGGAGGAAGGGUAGUGUGUUAAUAGCACAUUGCAUUGACGUUACUCGCAGAAGAAGCACCGGCUAACUCCGUGCCAGCAGCCGCGGUAAUACGGAGUGUGCAAGCGUUAAUCGGAAUUACUGGGCGUAAAGCGCACGCAGGCGGUUUGUUAAGUCAGAUGUGAAAUCCCCGCGCUUAACGUGGGAACUGCAUUUGAAACUGGCAAGCUAGAGUCUUGUAGAGGGGGGUAGAAUUCCAGGUGUAGCGGUGAAAUGCGUAGAGAUCUGGAGGAAUACCGGUGGCGAAGGCGGCCCCCUGGACAAAGACUGACGCUCAGGUGCGAAAGCGUGGGGAGCAAACAGGAUUAGAUACCCUGGUAGUCCACGCUGUAAACGAUGUCGAUUUGGAGGUUGUGCCCUUGAGGCGUGGCUUCCGGAGCUAACGCGUUAAAUCGACCGCCUGGGGAGUACGGCCGCAAGGUUAAAACUCAAAUGAAUUGACGGGGGCCCGCACAAGCGGUGGAGCAUGUGGUUUAAUUCGAUGCAACGCGAAGAACCUUACCUACUCUUGACAUCCAGAGAACUUUCCAGAGAUGGAUUGGUGCCUUCGGGAACUCUGAGACAGGUGCUGCAUGGCUGUCGUCAGCUCGUGUUGUGAAAUGUUGGGUUAAGUCCCGCAACGAGCGCAACCCUUAUCCUUUGUUGCCAGCGAUUCGGUCGGGAACUCAAAGGAGACUGCCGGUGAUAAACCGGAGGAAGGUGGGGAUGACGUCAAGUCAUCAUGGCCCUUACGAGUAGGGCUACACACGUGCUACAAUGGCGUAUACAAAGAGAAGCGAACUCGCGAGAGCAAGCGGACCUCAUAAAGUACGUCGUAGUCCGGAUUGGAGUCUGCAACUCGACUCCAUGAAGUCGGAAUCGCUAGUAAUCGUAGAUCAGAAUGCUACGGUGAAUACGUUCCCGGGCCUUGUACACACCGCCCGUCACACCAUGGGAGUGGGUUGCAAAAGAAGUAGGUAGCUUAACCUUCGGGAGGGCGCUUACCACUUUGUGAUUCAUGACUGGGGUGAAGUCGUAACAAGGUAACCGUAGGGGAACCUGCGGUUGGAUCACCUCCUUA